GAUGAAGAACGCAGCGAAAUGCGAUAAGUAAUGUGAAUUGCAGAAUUCAGUGAAUCAUCGAAUCUUUGAACGCACCUUGCGCUCCUUGGUAUUCCGAGGAGCAUGCCUGUUUGAGUGUCAUGAAAUUCUCAACCUUUUCAGCUUUCUUUGUUGAUCAGGCUUGGAUGUGGGAGUAUGUGGGCUUCUCAGAAGUCGGCUCUCCUGAAAUGCAUUAGCGGGACCUUUGUUGCCUGGCUUUGGUGUGAUAAUUAUCUACGCCAUUGUAGUCAAGCAGCUUAAAAUGAGGUUUCAGCUUCUAACCGUCUCCCCUGAGACAACUUUUUGACAAUUUGACCUCAAAUCAGGUAGGACUACCCGCUGAACUUAAGCAUAUCAAUAAGCGGAGGA
rnacentral:misc_RNA from 1 species